AGAGUUUGAUCAUGGCUCAGAACGAACGCUGGCGGCAGGCUUAACACAUGCAAGUCGAGCGCCCCUCCUUCAAGCGAGCUCUGUGAGCUUGCGCGGGCUUUUUGAGCGCGCGGUGGGGGAUGGCGAGCGGGCUUUUGGUGGCUCGCUUGAUGGAGGGGAGCGGCAGACGGGUGAGUAACGCGUGGGGAUGUACCCAGAGGUGCGGAAUAACCCAGGGAAACUUGGACUAAUACCGCAUGAGCCCGAGAGGGGAAAGAUUUAUCGCCUUUGGAUCAACCCGCGUCGGAUUAGCUUGUUGGUGGGGUAACGGCCUACCAAGGCGACGAUCCGUAGCUGGUCUGAGAGGAUGAUCAGCCACACUGGGACUGAGACACGGCCCAGACUCCUACGGGAGGCAGCAGUGGGGAAUAUUGGACAAUGGGCGCAAGCCUGAUCCAGCCAUGCCGCGUGAGUGAUGACGGCCUUAGGGUUGUAAAGCUCUUUCGCACGCGACGAUAAUGACGGUAGCGUGAGAAGAAGCCCCGGCUAACUUCGUGCCAGCAGCCGCGGUAAUACGAAGGGGGCUAGCGUUGUUCGGAAUCACUGGGCGUAAAGCGCACGUAGGCGGAUUGUUAAGUCGGGGGUGAAAUCCCCGGGCUUAACCUGGGAAUGGCGCUUGUGACUGCACGACUGGAGUGCGGCAGAGGGGGGUGGAAUUCCACGUGUAGCAGUGAAAUGCGUAGAGAUGUGGAGGAACACCGAUGGCGAAGGCAGCCCCCUGGGUCGACACUGACGCUCAGGCACGAAAGCGUGGGGAGCAAACAGGAUUAGAUACCCUAGUAGUCC
rnacentral:rRNA from 1 species